AUACGAAGGUGGCAAGCGUUGUUCGGAAUCACUGGGCUUAAAGCGUACGUAGGCGGAUUGCCAAGUGUCCUUUGAAAUCCCCCGGCUUAACCGGGGAACUGGGGGGCAAACUGGUAAUCUUGAGGCAUGUAGGGGUGUGUGGAACUCUUGGUGGAGCGGUGGAAUGCGUAGAUAUCAAGAGGAACGCCAGCGGAGAAAUCGGCACACUGGGCAUGUCCUGACGCUGAGGUACGAAAGCAUGGGUAGCGAACGGGAUUAGAUACCCCGGUAGUCCAUGCUGUAAACGAUGUCUACUAGGUUGCGGGAGUUCUGACGCUUUCGCAGCCGCAGCAAAAGUGUUAAGUAGACCGCCUGGGGAGUACGGUCGCAAGGCUAAA
rnacentral:rRNA from 1 species